CUAAUUUCAAUGUUCAGAUAAAAAAACAUUGAAGGCCAUUGAACUUUCCUUACUAUAUAUUUUUUUACUUGAAAAUUUUCAAUUGGCCAUGAUUACUGAUGAGAUGAAAAGUAAGACUGCGUAUAAUAAACCCAACAUUAUUCAAUCCUUCUUUGGAAUCUGAUCACGCGCAUAACAGGAGUUUAGAGUGAUGAGCUUGCCCUUCUCUAGUCUGGAUCAUGCUAAGGAUAUGAGCAUAGUGUGCCGAGCUGGUCCUUCUCUAGUCUUGGCACAUAGGUUGACCUUUAAAUAAUCAGACACUACUGAAGAUGAUGAUGACCAAGCUUAGUUGAGAGACUAAGUUGGGCCAUUAAGUGAAAAUUAUGUUUUUUUAACUAAUCUGUAAGAAU
rnacentral:lncRNA from 1 species